ACAGUUGUUCGUCGUGUCGGAAUCCUGAAUACUGUUCAGAAAAUAGAGAUUGCUGCGUAUCAAAUCAGUGCAGGAGAUAUUUAGACGGAAAAAAAAGAUGUGUUUACAUUCGUAGAAAAUAAAAGAACACAAAAUGAAUAAAAUAAACUUCUAGAAAAAAUAAACAUCUGACAUUGACAA